rnacentral:rRNA from 1 species
GGGUCGAUGUCGAUUUGGAGGUUGUGCCCUUGAGGCGUGGCUUCCGGAGCUAACGCGUUAAAUCGACCGCCUGGGGAGUACGGCCGCAAGGUUAAAACUCAAAUGAAUUGACGGGGGCCCGCACAAGCGGUGGAGCAUGUGGUUUAAUUCGAUGCAACGCGAAGAACCUUACCUGGUCUUGACAUCCACAGAACUUUCCAGAGAUGGUUUGGUGCCUUCGGGAACUGUGAGACAGGUGCUGCAUGGCUGUCGUCAGCUCGUGUUGUGAAAUGUUGGGUUAAGUCCCGCAACGAGCGCAACCCUUAUCCUUUGUUGCCAGCGGUUCGGCCGGGAACUCAAAGGAGACUGCCAGUGAUAAACUGGAGGAAGGUGGGGAUGACGUCAAGUCAUCAUGGCCCUUACGACCAGGGCUACACACGUGCUACAAUGGCAUAUACAAAGAGAAGCGACCUCGCGAGAGCAAGCGGACCUCAUAAAGUAUGUCGUAGUCCGGAUUGGAGUCUGCAACUCGACUCCAUGAAGUCGGAAUCGCUAGUAAUCGUAGAUCAGAAUGCUACGGUGAAUACGUUCCCGGGCCUUGUACACACCGCCCGUCACACCAUGGGAGUGGGUUGCAAAAGAAGUAGGUAGCUUAACCUUCGGGAGGGCGCUUACCACUUUGUGAUUCAUGACUGGGGUGAAGUCGUACGGGAGCCCGAAAAUCCCCCCCCCCCCGAGUUAUGCGGUGUGAGAUUUUGGUUCCUGACCUGGUGGCCCUCUCCCCCCGCAGACGAAUAGUUACAAAUACACGCUCACCGCCUGACGCCACGAGAAACCUGACCCCACUCUCUCAACUAUAUCUCUCAUUUUUGUGAGAGCCUCCCCCACGGGGUAACCCGCGUACUUUCUAUCCCAUGGUAGAAACCGGGGGGGGGUGUUUUUCCCCCAAAAUUCCCAAAAAAGGGUCCCCCCCCUGUUAUCCCCGCGCGGGGGGGAGGGAGUAGCCGGGGUUUUUUUCUGGGGGGAACAGUAAACAGGGGAGUUUAUAACCUCAGCCUUUUUUCGCGGCAAAAGGUGUUUUCACACCAGAGGAGGCGUCUUUCCACCCCGCGGGGGGGGGGCAUAGGUGGGGGCCCCGAUGGGAAAUAUACCACGACGGGGUGGCGGAGGGGA